rnacentral:rRNA from 1 species
GAUGAACGCUGGCGGCGUGCUUAACACAUGCAAGUCGAACGGAAAGGCCCAAGCUUGCUUGGGUACUCGAGUGGCGAACGGGUGAGUAACACGUGGGUGAUCUGCCCUGCACUUCGGGAUAAGCCUGGGAAACUGGGUCUAAUACCGGAUAGGACGAUGGUUUGGAUGCCAUUGUGGAAAGUUUUUUCGGUGUGGGAUGAGCUCGCGGCCUAUCAGCUUGUUGGUGGGGUAAUGGCCUACCAAGGCGUCGACGGGUAGCCGGCCUGAGAGGGUGUACGGCCACAUUGGAACUGGGAGACGGCCCACACUCCUACGGGAGGCAGCAGUGGGGAAUAUUGCACAAUGGGCGCAAGCCUGAUGCAGCGACGCCGCGUGGGGGAUGACGGCCUUCGGGUUGUAAACUCCUUUCGCUAGGGACGAAGCGUUUUUGUGACGGUACCUGGAGAAGAAGCACCGGCUAACUACGUG